CCUACGGGAGGCAGCAGUGAGGAAUAUUGGUCAAUGGCCGGAAGGCUGAACCAGCCAUGCCGCGUGAAGGUCAGUGCCCUAUGGGCGUUAAACUUCUUUUGUGCGGGAGCAAUAAUGGUCACGUGUGGCCAGACGAGAGUACCGUACGAAUAAGCAUCGGCUAACUCCGUGCCAGCAGCCGCGGUAAGACGGGGGGUGCAAGCGUUAUCCGGAUUUAUUGGGUUUAAAGGGUGCGUAGGCUGGGAGGUAAGGCAGCGGUGAAAUGCCCCCGUUCAACGGGGUGAAGUGCCAUUGAUACUGCCUUGCUUGAAUGCGGAUGCCGUGGGAGGAAUGUGUGGUGUAGCGGUGAAAUGCAUAGAUAUCACACAGAACACCGAUUGCGAAGGCAUCUCACGAAUCCGCGAUUGACGCUGAUGCACGAAAGCGUGGGUAUCAAACAGGAUUAGAUACCCCAGUAGUC
rnacentral:rRNA from 1 species